rnacentral:rRNA from 1 species
AACGAACGUUGGCGGCGUGGAUUAGGCAUGCAAGUCGAACGAAUCCCACCGCUGUAGCAAUACAGUGGUGGGGGAAGUGGCGAAAGGGGCAGUAAUGCGUGGGUAACCUACCCCGGGGACGUGGAUAGCCUUCCUAACGGAAGGGUAAUACACGGCGAUCUGGCUGGGAGGCAUCUCCUGAACAGGAAAUGAAUCUCGCCUCGGGAGGGGCUCACGUCGUAUUAGCUUGUUGGCGGGGUAACGGCCCACCAAGGCAAAGAUGCGUAGCGGGUGUGAGAGCACGACCCGCGCCACUGGCACUGAGACACUGGCCAGACUCCUACGGGAGGCUGCAGUCGAGGAUCUUCGGCAAUGGGCGCAAGCCUGACCGAGCGACGCCGCGUGUGCGAUGAAGGCC